rnacentral:rRNA from 1 species
GACGAACGCUGGCGGCGUGCUUAACACAUGCAAGUCGAACGGAAAGGCCCUGCUUUUGUGGGGUGCUCGAUUGGCGAACGGGUGAGUAACACGUGAGUAACCUGCCCUUGACUUUGGGAUAACUUCAGGAAACUGGGGCUAAUACCGGGUAGGAUCUCCUGCUGCAUGGUGGGGGUUGGAAAGUUUCGGCUGUUGGGGCUGGACUCGCGGCUUAUCAGCUUGUUGGUGGGGUAGUGGCUUACCAAGGCUUUGACGGGUAGCCGGCAUGAGAGGGUGACCGGCCACAUUGGGACUGAGAGACGGAGCAGACUCCUACGGGAGGCAGCAGUGGGGAAUAUUGCACAAUGGGCGGAAGCCUGAUGCAGAAACGCCGGGUGCGGGAUGACGGCCUUCGGGUUGUAAACCGCUUUCGCCUGUGACGAAGCGUGAGUGACGGUAAUGGGUAAAGAAGCACCGGCUAACUACGUG